CGAGAAUAAGUCACGGCUAACUACGUGCCAGCAGCCGCGGUAAUACGUAGGUGACAAGCGUUAUCCGGAAUUACUGGGCGUAAAGCGCACGCAGGCGGCGCGCUAAGUCUGACGUGAAAUCUCCCGGCUUAACUGGGAGGGGUCGUUGGAGACUGGUGUGCUUGAGGCGAUGAGAGGGGUGUAGAAUUCCCGGUGUAGUGGUGGAAUGCGUAGAUAUCGGGAGGAAUACCAGUGGCGAAAGCGACACCCUGGCAUUAGCCUGACGCUCAUGUGCGAAGGCGUGGGGAGCGAACGGGAUUAGAUACCCCGGUAGUCCACGCGGUAAACGAUGAAUACUAGGUGUGGGUGGAGUGAAAUCCAUCUGUACCGAAGCAAACGCGAUAAGUAUUCCGCCUGGGGGGUACGGCCGCAAGGC
rnacentral:rRNA from 1 species